AGCAGAGUAGUGUAGUGGAAGCUCGUUGGCCUCAUAACUCAAAAAUCGAACGAUCGAAACAUUCCGCUGCUG